rnacentral:rRNA from 1 species
AACACGUAUGAGAGUAACUGUUCAUACGUUGACGGUAGUUUAACCAGAAAGUCACGGCUAACUACGUGCCAGCAGCCGCGGUAAUACGUAGGUGGCAAGCGUUAUCCGGAGUUUAUUGGGCGUAAAGAGAGUGCAGGCGGGUUUUCUAAGUCUGAUGUGAAAGCCUUCGGCUUAACCGGAGAAGUGCAUCGGAAACUGGAUUAACUUGAGUGCAGAAGAGGGUAGUGGAACUCCAUGUGUAGCGGUGGAAUGCGUAGAUAUAUGGAAGAACACCAGUGGCGAAGGCGGCUACCUGGUCUGCAACUGACGCUGAGGCUCGAAAGCAUGGGUAGCGAACAGGAUUAGAUACCCUGGUAG